rnacentral:misc_RNA from 1 species
GAUGAAGAACGUAGCGAAAUGCGAUAAGUAGUGUGAAUUGCAGAAUUCAGUGAAUCAUCGAAUCUUUGAACGCACAUUGCGCCCCUUGGUAUUCCAUGGGGCAUGCCUGUUCGAGCGUCAUUUGUACCUUCAAGCUUUGCUUGGUGUUGGGUGUUUGUCUCGCCUUUGCGUGUAGACUCGCCUUAAAAUAAUUGGCAGCCGGCGUAUUGAUUUCGGACCGCAGUACAUCUCGCGCUUUGCACUCAUAACGACAGCGUCCAAAAGUACAUUUUACACUCUUGACCUCGGAUCAGGUAGGGAUACCCGCUGAACUUAAGCAUAUCAAUAAGCGGAGGA